UGCCGUCCAUUUGUGUAUAGUGUUCAUAAAAUUCCAUGAGCACAGGAUUCUGAUGAAUCUACAAUGCAUGGGAGCUCAGAGGGGACUCAAAUCAAGUACAAUAAAGCAUUUCCAUUUUGCCUGGCUCUGGGAACAAAGCCAAUGUCUGCUUUAGAGGAACAGAGAUUUCCACAUGGUGAAUGAAAAAAAGGACACAGAUCCAGGAUUCAGAAAGAAAAUGAGGACAGAGACUAACACUCUCUAAAUACAUAAAGGCAGAAGACAUUUUCUCAGGGGAAAUGUGUACAUAGAGACAUGCAAAGAGAGGAGACGAUGUGAAGCCAUGGUGAGAUUUUCAUCUACAAGCCAAGGAGUGCCUGAGCUACUGGAAGGCAAGAAAGAGGCAAGGAACAGAGUCUACCUCGCAACCCUUAAAAACAAACAACCCUGCUGACACCUUCAGUUUGGACUUUCAGCCUCCAGAACUGUGAAACAAGAAACUUCUGUUGUUUAAGCAACUCAGUUUGUGGUACCUUGUUAUGGCAGGCCUAGCAAAUUAAUACACCUUCCUACUGAAAACAACCAUAACACUGGCCAAAAUAUAUGAGGAAACUGUCUUUAGGUAUUUGGACAACAUGUGAUACGGGGCUGUGAUUCUUGAGAGGAAAGGACACGUAUGAGCUAAAUGAAAGUUAAAAGAAUUCAUCAGUGAUACAAGAAAUAUGAAAAGAAGUUUUUCUUGUGAAAUAUAUGUCAAAGGUGGUAAAAAUAAUAGGAACAAAAUACAUGUAAUUUUGCAAUUGUAAGACUUUAAUAUUUUAUGGGUGGUGGUACAAUGUCAACUCUGUCACUCUGUGAUAAGUUAAAGUGUCAUAUUUUAAUCUUUAUGGGAACCAUUUAAAAAAUACAAAGAAGGAUAGCUAAAAAGCCAACAGAGGACAGAAAAGGAAUAUUAAAAAUUAUUUAAUGAACUCAAAAGAAGGAAUGAAAGGAAGAAUGGAGGAACAAAAAGAUGACAGGAGAAAUAGUAAAUAAAUGCCAGGAUGGUAACAUUAAAUCCCAGUAUAUCAAUAAUUAUAUUAAAUGUUAAAUUAAAUUUAUAAGGAUAAAUAAUUGAAAGAUGUUUAAUUAGAUUAUAAUUUACUUCAAUUAAAAGGAAAACUUGCCAGACUGGUUAGAAAAGAAAAAGACACACUUUAUUACUUUUUUAAUUUUUAAUUUUAAGUUUUUAUUUUUGUGUGUAUGUAGCAGGCAUAUAUAUUUAUGGGCUACAUGAGAUAUUUUGGUACAGGCGUGUAAUAUGUAAUGAUCACAGUAUGGAAAACUGGGGGUCCAUCCCCUCAAGCAUUUUUCCUUUGCAUUACAAAAUCCAGUUAGAGUCUUUUAGUUAUUUUUAAUUGUACAAUUAAAUUAUUAUUGACUGUAGUCUACCUGUUGCGCUAUCAAAUACUAGGUCUUAUUCAUUCUUUCCAAGUAUUUUUUCUUGUAUCCUAAGCAUGCCCCUACUCUCCCGUCCCUACUCACUACCCUUCCCAGGCUCUGAUAACCAUCCCUCUAUUCUCUAAAGAGAUACACUUUAAAUAUAAAGACAAAGAUAGGUUGAAAGUAAAAUGAUGGAGGAAAUAUUUAUCAUGUAAAGAAUAAACACAUAGCAAUAGUAUGGCUAUAUUAAUAUGAGAGAACAUACACUUUAACAUGGGAGAGUUGCCAAAGAUAAAGAGGCAAUUUAUCAAUUUAAAAAUGAUAAAAGAGUCAGUUCUCCAGAAAGGUAAAACAAUCCUAAAUGUAUGUGCACCCAAUAACGGAGCUUUAAAAUACAAGAACCAAAAGUGACAGAAUUAAAGGGAGAAACAGAGAAAUUUAUUAUUCAAAUUCAAGAUUUUUAACAGUUCUCUCUCAUUAAUUGAUUGAUCGAUGUAUAAAAUCAGCAUGGAUAUAGGAGAUAUAAACCAUACUGUCAACCAACAUGACCUUAAUUGAAGCAUAUAAGCAUGCCACCAAAGAACAAUAGUACACAUUAUUUUCUGGUGCAAAUGAAACAUUAAUCAAGGUAGACCAAAUACUGGACAGUAAGUAUCAAUUAAUUUUAAAGGAUUUAAAUUUUAUAGUAUAUAUUCUCUGGGUGCAGUAUAAUUAAAUUAGAAAUCAUAUUACGUCUAUAAAUUCCCAAGUAUCAUGGAAAUUAAGCAACAUAUUUCUGAAUAAUCCAGGAAUAAAAGAGAAAUAAAAUAAGGAUAAUUAAAAUACUUUGAGUUGAUCAAUAUUGAAAAUGUAAUAUACAAAAAUUUAUUAAAUGCUAAUGCAAUGCUUAGCAGAAAGUUUUUAACAUUAAAUGCUUACAUUAGAAAAGAAGAGAGGUUUAAAAUCAAUGAUUUAACUUUGUAUCUUUAAGAAGCUGGAAAAAGUCAACCUCGGUUAAAUAGAGGAAACGAAAUUUCUUUAAAAAGAUCAAUUAAACUGAUUUAUCUUUAGCAAAACUGAUGGAGAGAGAGAAAUAACAAGUUACUAAUAUCAGGAAUGCAAGAAAAGAGAUCGCUAAAAAUCCUAUAGACAUUAAAAGGAUAAUAAGGGAAUAUUAUGAAA